GGAUAAUGUUAUUCUAAUCUCUACAGAUUGAAGUCUUUUGCAGAAACCUCCCCAGAAACUCCUAGAGUAUUUACAAUCCAGAGGAUGGGCCAGUCAUGCACAGAAAGUCCAGGGACCAGGCGGCACCAUAACAUUACUGGGCAUGGUCAGGUUAAGUAAGACCAAGGUUUUGCCAACAGCUGUGACCAUCAAAAUCCAGACAUACCCACAGGCCUCUGUAUAGUUUGGAUCUGUGUCCCUGCCUGAAUCUCAAAUCUAACUGUAAUCUGCAGUGUUGGAGGUGAGGCCUGGUGGGAGGUGAUUGGAUCAUGGAGGUGGUCCCUCAUGAAUGGCUGAGCACUAUCCCCUCUGCGCUGUUCUUGUGAUAGUGAGAGCUCUCACAAGAUCUAGUUGUUUAAAAGUGUGCAGGCCGGGUGCGGUGGCUCACGCAUGUAAUCUCAGCACUUUGGGAGGCCGAGGCAGGCAGAUAACGAGGUCAGGAGAUCGAGACAAUCCUGGCUAACAUGGUGAAACCCCAUCUCUACUAAAAAUACAAAAAUUAGCUGGGCGUCGUGGCACGUGCCUGUAGUCCCAGCUACUUGGGAGACCAAGUCAGGAGAAUCACUUGAACCCGGGAGGUGAAAGUUGCAGUGAGCCGAGAUCGCACCAUUGCACUCCAGCCUGGGCAACAGAGUGAGACUCCAUUUCAAAAAAAAAGUAUGUAGCAUCUCUCUCCUCUCUCUCUUGUUCCUGUUCCAGUCAUGUAAGAUGUGCCUGCCUGCUUCCUCUUCCCCUUCCACCAUGAUUUUAAGCUCCCUAAGGCCAGCAGUGUGAGAAUGGACUAAUAUACCUUGUUUUAUGAAACGGCUGUAUCUGCAAAGGGAUCCGCAACACAGAAGGAGGCAGGAAACCAAAGAAUGAGACAGACAAAUCCAGUUUGUCAGUAAAGGGUAAUUUAUUGGGGGGAAUUUGUGGACAGAAGCAUGGUCUUGAGUGGUAGCAAGACAGGUAGUUCCCCAGGCUGUUACUGCCAAGAUUUAGGGCUUACUUAGUAUAGGAAAAGGGUAAAUAUGCACUAUAGGAAUGUGCAGGACAUUUAAGGUCAGCCUUCCAGAAAGAAAAUGAGGUGCUCAUCGUAGCCUGUAGUUUGUAUGAUGACAUAUAGGUUGCUUUGACCUAAGGAGAAGAUUUACAGUAAGUAUGUGCUCUUACACAAGAAACAGUAGAUCAAGUAGAAAUCUUAAAGGCAUUCCCAGAAAUCGGGUUAAUCCAAAGUCAACAUGGUGGAUUCGCAUCCAAGAUGGAGCUGCUUUAGCCUCCACAGGCUCCUUCCCCAGACCCGUGGAGCCCUUAGGGUUUAGAGGACCAGCGUAGAAAUUCUCAUCCAGGCAGUUUCUUCCUUUUGGUUCUCGAAAGGGAACUGAGUGUACACAUCUGCUUAUUAUUCUCAAAUAAUUUCUUCUUUCACCUUAUUAUUUCUCAAAUCUUUCCUUCUUUUCCCUCUCCACAGAAAAAGUUCCAGAAAAUUUAAAAAUCUUUUCAGAAAAGACAGUACACUGAGCAAGAUUUGCACAUCAAGAAAAAGUAGAGACAGGAGAUGAGAGUCAAGUGUUUUGGGGGGUAGAGAAAAAGACUAGGCUGGAAGGGGUACUGGGCCACUUGUGCGGGUGUGUACACCUGUGUGUGUGUGUGUGGUGUGUGCGUGUGUGUGGUGUGUAACAUUUCUACUUGAAAAACUCCAGCCCUCUCUAGCCUGGAUUAAUAGAAAGAUGUGUGUUUGCCCAUGGGCAGGUGGGGUGCUUGGGGGCAGGAGACCCUGGAAUGGGAUGCGGUGAUGGCAGCUGGGCUGUUGGGCAGGCGGGAUGAGCUGCAGAAGGAGCAGGGCUCUGGUUCCCAGGCUUGUCCAUCCUGCUGGCAUGGAGCCACCUCCAGGCUGUGGGGUGGGUGUGGUAGGUGGGGCUUCCUUCCUUCCCCAGACUAGCCCAGCAAUUCCCCAGGAAGCCAGACCUCUGCUACCCUUCUUUCUGCACCUCUACAGGGAGAGUCAUCCUGUCUGCACCAAGGAUGGGAAAAGCAGAGGAAUCCCACAGGCCAGACACUGCUAAUCAGUCAGUCACAGAAUUCUCACCCCAGUGCCCAGUGAGCACCACCAAAAGCUCCAGAUGGUUUAUAAGUAUCUGGAGACUCUUGCAUUCCCUGUGGAUCCUUCCUGACCAGAUCUUAGAAUCUUGCCUGGAAAUGAGGAAGUGGCAUGUCACCACCCAGUACCUUAGGAAGACCCUGCCCUGUCAGUCAGAGAUGGCAUCUUGGGUGACCACUCCCUGAGUGGAGGAAGAGAGGGUCCUGUGCAGGGAGCUUCCUUGGUGGAUCAUGGGGAUGAUGGUGACAGCAAUGCUGAGAGCCACAUGAAACCGAGUCCUCAGGAGGCCCUGUGAGGAUGGUGUGGUUCCCAUCACACUUCCCUGACAAGAGGGAAUUAUGAUCUUCAGACUCAGGAGAAAUAUGGGGUUUGUUUCAAGUCCAUGGAGCUCCACAGUUCUUUUGAGAGCUACAGCCUGUCCUGCUGCUGAGCCCCAUCCCAGUAGGCCAGCCACGCCCUCAAGGCCAAGAAGACCAAGCCAUGAAGAAUCUCAGGCCCACUGAAUGCCCGGGUGGCAGGGGCAGAGUGCCUCAGGGCUCAGGGAAGUUUGGGCUGAGUGUGUGCUCUGGGAGCCAGACAGCUAGCUGCACAGGGCUCCCAGCUCCACCAUGACCAGCCCUGUAACUGGGGCAGGGGACUCACUCCUGUGGUACUUGAGCAUCAUUGUCAUAUAAUUAAUGUGUCUGUCCAAUCCUUUUCUCUUUUUAUCUCUCUUCCUCUAUAAUCGCCAUGUACUACUGAUCUGUUAGUGAUUGUGUUCAAAUGAAUAAACAUAUGUUAAAUAGUG
rnacentral:lncRNA from 10 species